rnacentral:rRNA from 1 species
GUAGGGUGCAAGCGUUAAUCGGAAUUACUGGGCGUAAAGCGUGCGCAGGCAGUUUUAUAAGUCAGAUGUGAAAUCCCCGAGCUCAACUUGGGAACUGCGUUUGAAACUGUAAGACUAGAGUGUGUCAGAGGGGGGUAGAAUUCCAAGUGUAGCAGUGAAAUGCGUAGAGAUUUGGAGGAAUACCAAUGGCGAAGGCAGCCCCCUGGGAUAACACUGACGCUCAUGAACGAAAGCGUGGGGAGCAAACAGGAUUAGAUACCCUGGUAGUCCACGCCCUAAACGAUGUCUACUAGUUGUUGGUGGAGUAAAAUCCAUGAGUAACGCAGCUAACGCGUGAAGUAGACCGCCUGGGGAGUACGGUCGCAAGAUUAAAACUCAAAUGAAUUGACGGGGGCCCGCACAAGCGGUGGAUUAUGUGGAUUAAUUCGAUGCAACGCGAAAAACCUUACCUGGCCUUGACAUGUACCGAAUUUAGCAGAGAUGCUUUAGUGCUCGAAAGAGAACGGUAACACAGGUGCUGCAUGGCUGUCGUCAGCUCGUGUCGUGAGGUGUUGGGUUAAGUCCCGCAACGAGCGCAACCCUUGCCAUUAAUUGCCAUCAUUUAGUUGGGCACUUUAAUGGGACUGCCGGUGACAAACCGGAGGAAGGUGGGGAUGACGUCAAGUCCUCAUGGCCCUUAUGGCCAGGGCUUCACACGUAAUACAAUGGUCGGUACAGAGGGAAGCCAACCCGCGAGGGGGAGCCAAUCUCAGAAAGCCGGUCGUAGUCCGGAUUGUUGUCUGCAACUCGACAGCAUGAAGUCGGAAUCGCUAGUAAUCGCGGAUCAGCAUGUCGCGGUGAAUACGUUCCCCGGGCCUU